rnacentral:rRNA from 1 species
GAGUUUGAUCUUGGCUCAGGAUGAACGCUGGCGGCGUGCCUAACACAUGCAAGUCGAACGGAGUUAUUUGAGGAAGUUUUCGGAUGGAAUCAAAUGACUUAGUGGCGGACGGGUGAGUAACGCGUGGGAAACCUGCCCUGUACCGGGGGAUAACACUUAGAAAUAGGUGCUAAUACCGCAUAAGCGCACAGCUUCGCAUGGAGCAGUGUGAAAAACUCCGGUGGUACAGGAUGGUCCCGCGUCUGAUUAGCCAGUUGGCGGGUAACGGCCCACCAAAGCGACGAUCAGUAGCCGGCCUG